rnacentral:rRNA from 1 species
UACGAAGGGGGCUAGCGUUGUUCGGAUUUACUGGGCGUAAAGCGCACGUAGGCGGAUUGUUAAGUCGGGGGUGAAAUCCUGGAGCUCAACUCCAGAAUUGCCUUCGAUACUGGCUUUCUAGAGGCUGGAAGAGGUUAGUGGAAUUCCCAGUGUAGAGGUGAAAUUCGUAGAUAUCAUCAAGAAUACCGAUUGCGAAGGCAGUUUACUAAGCUUUAACUGACACUGAGGCACGAAAGUGUGGGGAUCAAACAGG